GUAGUCAUAUGCUUGUCUCAAAGAUUAAGCCAUGCAUGUCUAAGUAUAAGCGCCUUAUACUGUGAAACUGCGAAUGGCUCAUUAUAUCAGUAAUAGUUUAUUUGAUGGUCCCUUACUACCUGGAUACCCGUAGUAAUUCUAGAGCUAAUACAUGCACUACGGUCCCAACUGCCUCGGCGGGCGGGAUGCCUUUAUUAGAUCGAAACCAAUGCGGCGCAAGCCGAUGUUGUGGUGAAUCAUGAUAACCUAGCGAAUCGCAUGCCUUCUGGGCAGCGAUGUUUCAUUCAAGUUUCUGCCCUAUCAGCUUCGGAUGGUAGGGUAUUGGCCUACCAUGGCUUCAACGGGUAACGGGGAAU
rnacentral:rRNA from 1 species